AUUGGAGGGCAAGUCUGGUGCCAGCAGCCGCGGUAAUUCCAGCUCCAAAAGCGUAUAUUAAAGUUGUUGCAGUUAAAAAGCUCGUAGUUGAACCUUGGGCUUGGCUGGCCGGUCCAUCUUUUUGAUGCGUACUGGACCCAGCCGAGCCUUUCCUUCUGGCUAGCCAUUUAUGGCGAACCAGGACUUUUACUUUGAAAAAAUUAGAGUGUUCAAAGCAGGCCUUUGCUCGAAUAUAUUAGCAUGGAAUAAUAGAAUAGGACGUUAUGGUUCUAUUUUGUUGGUUUCUAGGACCAUCGUAAUGAUUAAUAGGGACGGUCGGGGGUAUCAGUAUUCAGUUGUCAGAGGUGAAAUUCUUGGAUUUACUGAAGACUAACUACUGCGAAAGCAUUUACCAAGGACGUUUUCAUUAAUCAAGAACGAAAGUUAGGGGAUCGAAGAUGAUCAGAUACCGUCGUAGUCUUAACCAUAAACUAUGCCGACUAGGGAUCGG
rnacentral:rRNA from 1 species